rnacentral:rRNA from 1 species
AUUGAACGCUGGCGGCAGGCCUAACACAUGCAAGUCGAGCGGUAGAGAGGUGCUUGCACCUCUUGAGAGCGGCGGACGGGUGAGUAAUGCCUAGGAAUCUGCCUGGUAGUGGGGGAUAACGUCCGGAAACGGACGCUAAUACCGCAUACGUCCUACGGGAGAAAGCAGGGGACCUUCGGGCCUUGCGCUAUCAGAUGAGCCUAGGUCGGAUUAGCUAGUUGGUGAGGUAAUGGCUCACCAAGGCGACGAUCCGUAACUGGUCUGAGAGGAUGAUCAGUCACACUGGAACUGAGACACGGUCCAGACUCCUACGGGAGGCAGCAGUGGGGAAUAUUGGACAAUGGGCGAAAGCCUGAUCCAGCCAUGCCGCGUGUGUGAAGAAGGUCUUCGGAUUGUAAAGCACUUUAAGUUGGGAGGAAGGGUACUUACCUAAUACGUGAGUAUUUUGACGUUACUCGCAGAAGAAGCACCGGCUAACUCUGUGCCAGCAGCCGCCGUAACAC